AUUGAACGCUAGCGGGAUGCUUUACACAUGCAAGUCGAACGGCAGCGCGGACUUCGGUCUGGCGGCGAGUGGCGAACGGGUGAGUAAUGUAUCGGAACGUGCCCAGUAGCGGGGGAUAACUACGCGAAAGCGUAGCUAAUACCGCAUACGCCCUACGGGGGAAAGCAGGGGAUCGUAAGACCUUGCACUAUUGGAGCGGCCGAUAUCGGAUUAGCUAGUUGGUGAGGUAACGGCUCACCAAGGCGACGAUCCGUAGCUGGUUUGAGAGGACGACCAGCCACACUGGGACUGAGACACGGCCAAGACUCCUACGGGAGGCAGCAGUGGGGAAUUUUGGACAAUGGGGGCAACCCUGAUCCAGCCAUCCCGCGUGUGAGAUGAAGGCCUUCGGGUUGUAAAGCACUUUUGGCAGGAAAGAAACGUAGCGGGCUAAUACCCCGUGGAACUGACGGUACCUGCAGAAUAAGCACCGGCUAACUACGUG
rnacentral:rRNA from 1 species